rnacentral:lncRNA from 1 species
GUGAAAUGCAGGCAAGAAGACUCUGGAACUUACCAUGAGGUCAUGGCUGAAUUUGUGCCAACUAGGGUCCUGUCCUAGACCAGCUUACCACAUCUAUGCACACAGCUCCUACACUGCAAGGUAAGAAGAAAAGUGUUUGGAAGUAAAAGUGAAAGUUGAGGUGUGCUGACACUGUGCCACGCGUCUGACUUGAACUUGGUGAUGAUGCCCAUAUGUGUGACUGGAAUGGCUUAAAAUGAAAGGGGAGGAGUGGGAAAACUUUGAUGUACUAAGUUCGUUCUGAUUUAAAAGCUAUUAAUAAAACCAGUGUGAA